AUUGAACGCUGGCGGCAGGCUUAACACAUGCAAGUCGAACGAGUGGCGGACGGGUGAGUAAUGCAUGGGAAACUGGCUAAUGGAGGGGGAUAACUACGGGAAACUGUAGCUAAUACCGCAUACCAUAGGAUGAGCCCAUGUGGGAUUAGGUAGUUGGUGGGGUAAAGGCUCACCAAGGCGACGAUCCCUAGCUGGUCUGAGAGGAUGACCAGCCACACUGGAACUGCGACACGGCCCAGACUCCUACGGGAGGCAGCAGUGGGGAAUAUUGCGCAAGGGGGGCAAUCCUGAUGCAGCCAUGCCGCGUGGAUGAAGAAGGCCUUCGGGUUGUAAAGUCCUUUCGGUGGGGAGGCGUUACCUGCAGAAGAAGCACCGGCUAACUCCGUGCCAGCAGCCGCGGUAAUUC
rnacentral:rRNA from 1 species